ACUCAAAGGAAUUGACGGGGGCCCGCACAAGCGGUGGAGCAUGUGGUUCAAUUCGACGCAACGCGAAGAACCUUACCUGGGCUCGAAAUGUAGUGGAAUACGGUGGAAACAUCGUAGGCUCGCAAGAGACUGCUAUAUAGGUGCUGCAUGGCUGUCGUCAGCUCGUGUCGUGAGAUGUUGGGUUAAGUCCCGCAACGAGCGCAACCCUUAUUGCCAGUUGCCAUCGGGUCAAGCCGGGCACUCUGGCGAAACUGCCUCGGAUAACGGGGAGGAAGGUGGGGAUGACGUCAAGUCCUCAUGGCCUUUAUGUCCAGGGCUACACACGUGCUACAAUGGUCGGUACAAACCGUUGCAAACCCGCGAGGGGGAGCUAAUCGGAAAAAGCCGGCCUCAGUUCGGAUUGGAGUCUGCAACUCGACUCCAUGAAGCUGGAAUCGCUAGUAAUCGCAGAUCAGAACGCUGCGGUGAAUACGUUCCCGGGCCUUGUACACACCGCCCGU
rnacentral:rRNA from 1 species